GGCCUCAUUAUUUUAUAGCGGGUUUAGGAUCACUGAGGGGAGUUUUGGUUCCUAAUGCCAGGGCUCRGAACAGGCUGUGCUGAGACCUUUCUAAAGCAGCUUUUAGGCAGUCUUUGCAGAGCUAGUGGGAGGCUUGGUUUAAAACUUGUUCUCUGAGCUCAACCUUGCCCUUGUUUUGCAAUGUGCUCUAUCCUGAACAUCUGCAGUCUUCUGGGGCUUUAAGGGCCUCUCUGCUGUGGUGGUUGCUGAGCUCUUUCUUGCAUUAAUGAAUGUAGCUUUACCUUUGGCAGCAGCCAAGGGAGCUGCCAGAGGUCUGACAUAGCAUUUCAAAUGUCAGCUGCCAGUCUGGAGCAGCUGCCAGCACUGCAGCUCUGGCAGGGGCAAUGUUGGCACAGGACAAACGCAGGGAAUGUCAGUGUGGACACAGUCUGAGUCAGUCAGGGCASAGACUUGUGUACAGAGUAUCCUGACGUUGGUGAAAUCAAUGCCCUUUGAAAUCUCCCAGCAAGCUGGCACCUGUGUUCUUGGCUCAUAUAUAAGGAGAUGCUGCUGGUCCUGGCUGUUGUGGUUUGUGUUCWGACCUGACUGUGAGUAGUUGUCAGAGUGUGGGGCAUACACUCAGAAAGUAAUCCUGUGGUGCCUGGAGUUUCACUUCUGAGUGAAAGAGUAGCUCAAAGCACUGGCGCUGUGUGUGGAGAAGAGAGCAGUUGUAUUUCUUCAGCAUUUUGAUUGAAGGCUUGGCUGCAGACAUUUGUGCUAAUUUGAAUCUUCUAUUUGCUGUAGAGUCAGAGGUGAUUCACUGCUGCAUUUUCCAGAACACCAGACUUGAAUCCAGUGCCAGAAAACAGGGUGAAAACAAAAACCCACCAGGAAUUUAAUAAGACUAAAAGAUCUUUGUUGUUCCACUGCUGAGCAAACUAAAAGGAAUGCAUUUACAUGGAUUCACUGGCAGCUGUUAAGACUGAUUUAUUUCAGUAUAGCAGAAUCUAGAGAGUGAAUUGUGAAGAAGUGUGCCCUCAUAAAAUUAUUGCACCUCUUGCAGAGAUGAAGAAUGCUUGGUUUGUCUUACUGAGGGCUGUAUUCUCCCUGAGCCUUCUGCACAGUAUCAUCCAGAGACCUCUGUGCUCCUUUCUACAUCAUCAGCCACUUAAGAUAUAAGAAUAUACUUUUUUUCCUAAUUUCUGUGCUGGGAGUAGUUUAAUUAGGUUCUAGCUGAAUAACUCAAGCUCAACAGCCAUGUUCCAAUGUUAAUGUUAGGUUCUGUAAYUGGGAAGAAAGUUUGGUUAAAUAGGGAAGGAUUUUUUUUCAGCAUUGUAGAAAGACCUUUAUACUGUCCUUUUAUUAUAGUGUAGGAAUUGUUCUUGGUACCCCAAUGUGUGCAUCUUGGGCAUCUUUGAAGUCCUACAGUAACUUACUGGAGGUUAUAUUUACACUGUUUUAAAUGUUUUUAUUUUCAAGGAACAUCUAGCAAAUCUCUGCAGUAGGUUGUGUUGGGAAAGGACAAAAAGAGACCCAAAAGGUUGAACUGAAUGUUCRAUUUAUGUCUAUCCAAUUAAAAGGUAUUUAGAGUAGGUCAAAGAAAAUGCUGUGUCUUCUGGCUAUUAAAAAAAAUAACACUAGUUCAAAAAUAAUGUAAGUAUUAUGAAAACAUUUUACUUGUCUUGUUAAUCUUCCAUGGUAAAUUAGUUUAUUUUUCAUCAAAAGAAUUCCUGCUAGGUUUUGAUUUAAAUAAAAUUCUUUAGUGCUACUUGUACCUUUUCUAGAAAGCUUUAAUUUAAAUAUCAGUAUUUCAUUUAUAUUCAGGGAACAUGAYCCUUCUCCUUCAUCUAGCAAUCUAUACCACCCAUAUAUUCUUUUUUAAACCUUCCGAUGUAACCUUCUUAAGUAUUUAAGGCAUAGCUCCUACAGAACAAUGGUAGGCUACUCUUCUCUUAAAUUUGCCCUCUCUUUUUUAGGUCUGAGUGAAAUACCAGUGUGCUUUACUUUUCACUGACUGAAGAACUCAUUAUUCAUGUAGCCUGGGAAAGGCAGGUGCAUUAUUGACUUCUGCUGCUUUUGAAAGUGCCAGUGAAUCUUCAAGAAAUAAGUGAGCGUUUCCAAAAGCAGGAGGAGGCUCCGACACAGCCCCACAUCAGUGGCAGAGGCAAAGCUUUGCUGGGGGAGAUCUGCAGGACCUUCCAAAGUCUGGCCAAGGAACAGGAGCUGGUGAGGCAGGCCCGGGGCAGGGCAAGAAGCUCCGGCGAAGGCGGAGGACGAGGCCGUGGAAGCGUUC